AGAAUACACUUAGCUACCAGAGUAAGGCAAGUUCUAGGAUUGAGGAAUACAGGACUGAGGUUGACAAAGGAGCAGGAGGGAGUCUUGAAGGGACUUCUCCAAAAAGAUGCCCUGACCUUCCGGGAAACCCUCGGUGAGAGGCCCACAGCCUCGCUUCUAGGGUCACCACUGCUUCUUCCAGUCUAGCCAAACAGCUCCUAGUACAGCUCAGAGCACCCUGCAAGGAGGGCACGUGUUAAAUCGAGGAGCACACAUGCUCCACGAGGAAUUCUUUGCUUUGAGGCCAUGCACAGAGGUGGGUUCACUAUGAAGCUUGUGAAAUAAGCUUCAGGGCCCGCAUUUGCAUGGGCCACAGAGAGUCUGGGAGCUGCAGAAGGUUCAAGGGAAGAGGAGCCAUCACAAGCAGAAUAUUCUAGAAGGCAUUUCUGGCAAAUGGCCCAAAGAGGCCUCAGGAGAAAAGAACUUGAGUCUUCAAGGAUGCAAUGAGAAGGCACCAUCUGUGAGGAACAGGCCUCCGACAGACACCGAAUUUGCUGGCACUUUGAUCUUGGACUUCCCAGCCUCCAAAAUUAUCCAUAAUGGAUUCCUGGGACAUUUUCAGAUCUCCUUCCAGCUUCCUCUUCGCCCUUUCCAAGUCCGCCCGCAGUUUCUUCUCCUGCUCUAAGGAACCCUCAAGCUGAGAAGACACACAGAGACAAGGGCUUGCUCUGUUGCCCAAGCUAAAGUGCAGUGGUGUGAGUGUAGCCCACUGCAUCCUCACACUCCUGUGCUCAAGUGAUCCUCCCACCUCAGCCUCCCAAGUAGCUGGAACUACAAGAUGGAGUCUCGCUGCGAUGCCCAGGCUGGAGUGCAAUGGUGCAAUCUUGGCUCACUGCAACCUUCGUUUCCCAGGUUUAAGCAAUUCUCCUGCCUCAGCCUCCCAAGUAUCUGGGACUACAGGCGAGCGUCACCAUGCCUGGCUAAUUUUUGUAUUUUUAGUAGAGAUGUUUAGUAGAGAGUUUCACCAUAUUGGCCAGGCUGGUCUUGAACUCCUGACCUCAAGGGAUCCGCCCACCUUGGCCUCUCAAAGUGCUGGGAUUACAGGCGUGAGCCACCGUGCCUGGCAAUGUUUGUAGUUUCUUUCAUGAAUUUACCUCCUUUUAUUCUUUAAUCCCUGCUUAUCUCUAAAGAGUAAGUAACUGAAAGUAAUAAAACGGAAUUUUCUCAACAAUAUUUUAUAAGUUGAUUUCUUUUUCUUUCCUACAGGAAACAACCCAAUUUGCCAUCUUAAUUUGGAGUCUACUUUUUCUGAAUGACUCAGUUUUCUCUGAUACUUAAUCAAGAUGCAGCCUUGGGGGAAAAUGUCAUGUCCCAGUCUCCCCCAUGUUCCUUUCCCUUCAUCCCACUUUGUCCCCGGGGUCUAGCAUGACUGUGUGUUUGGAUUGGGGAAGUGAAGGCAGGAAAGUCGCUUCCCCAAAUCCGCAUCCACACAGGGUCUUAUGUUAGAGUUGAUGUUAUCUCUAGGCGAGGUUAUGCAAUGUAGUUACAGAGACAUUGUGAUUAGAUUCAAAGAAAAUGAUUUUCAUCAUUGAAGUUUACGCAUGUGCCCAUUUCCUAUUUAUUACAUUCCCUGGCCCAGAGGACAUUAGGCUUUCAUUUUUAAAAAAUGAUCUCAUUAUCUAAUGAAUAAUUAUAUUUCAUAUAUUUUAUUAAUUUAUUAAAUGUAUGCAUUUAAAAUGGCAUAUAAUGUUAAAACUCUAUGUUGGCUACUAUUUAAAAGUAUAUUUACUGGUAAUCU
rnacentral:lncRNA from 10 species